rnacentral:rRNA from 1 species
UGAGGAAUACAUCGGAAUCUACUUUUUCGUGGGGGAUAACGUAGGGAAACUUACGCUAAUACCGCAUACGACCUACGGGUGAAAGCAGGGGACCUUCGGGCCUUGCGCGAUUGAAUGAGCCGAUGUCGGAUUAGCUAGUUGGCGGGGUAAAGGCCCACCAAGGCGACGAUCCGUAGCUGGUCUGAGAGGAUGAUCAGCCACACUGGAACUGAGACACGGUCCAGACUCCUACGGGAGGCAGCAGUGGGGAAUAUUGGACAAUGGGCGCAAGCCUGAUCCAGCCAUACCGCGUGGGUGAAGAAGGCCUUCGGGUUGUAAAGCCCUUUUGUUGGGAAAGAAAUCCAGCUGGCUAAUACCCGGUUGGGAUGACGGUACCCAAAGAAUAAGCACCGGCUAACUUCGUGCCAGCAGCCGCGGUAAUACGAAGGGUGCAAGCGUUACUCGGAAUUACUGGGCGUAAAGCGUGCGUAGGUGGUCGUUUAAGUCCGUUGUGAAAGCCCUGGGCUCAACCUGGGAACUGCAGUGGAUACUGGGCGACUAGAAUGUGGUAGAGGGUAGCGGAAUUCCUGGUGUAGCAGUGAAAUGCGUAGAGAUCAGGAGGAACAUCCAUGGCGAAGGCAGUUA